CGUCCCGGGGCUGCGCGAGGCA
rnacentral:miRNA from 1 species